rnacentral:lncRNA from 12 species
UUUUCAGAUAAAGGAUAAACAAUCUGCAGUCUUCACAAUGUGCCAACAGGUGGAGAAUGACACAAUCCAACCGGAACACAAAACCGUUUGACUGCUGGAAGUCACUUUACCUUAGGGGCUCUUUACAGCAGCCCAGCCUGUGACUAUGUGAUGCUGAAAUUGGAAUUUACCAAGCACUUCCUAUGCUCAACGUACAAAGAUGAUUCAAAGGUAAGUUGUCUAUGCUCCUUGCCCAGACGGAGCACAUAGUCCAGUAUGAGAGAUGCCGGUGCAGUGAGGCUGAGCUGUAACUGAGUAAUGAGGAAAGUGCUCUGGAAAUAUUGUAGCAGUGGGAGUGGGGAGAAGGGACAAAAUGCUAAGUGCCUAAUGUGUAACAGUUGUUUUAUGUUAUUAUAUUACCAAACGUUUGGAAAAGUCUAUGUUGUGUUUCCAUUCUAGAGAUGAAAACAGUGAGUCUCUGGAAGGUUAUUUAACUUACCUACUGACAGAGAUGAAUUUAAACCUUUGAAAAGUGUCCACUCUGAUUAUGGAUUUAUUCAUUAUGGACACUUUCAGACUGGGCUGAGUCCACUUCUUCUGGAUACAGUGGGCCCUUUCAAUCUUCCUGAGCCCUCUCUGGUAGGUAGAGCUUCCACCAGAUUCAAUUAAAGUUAUCUCAUAAGCAAUUAUUAAAACCAGCACCAGUGAGGUUAAUGGAAUGAAGAAAAAAGCCUAGAAAGGAUUUCACCUUUAAAAGAACAAGGCUUUUAACAAUGUUGGACUUUGCCUGAGCCCUGUGCUCCUACAAAGCAGCUACAGUGAAAAAAUCCCCCAAAUUUUUGGUUCCUGGAAUGAUUAACUGCAAAGGGCCUUUCUGCCCUUGCAUAGUCUGAUAUGAGAUCUGUCUCCAUCCUUCCUCAUGACCCUCAUUAAAACUCACGAUGACUCCCUUGGUUACCUGCCUCUAUAAAUCUCAGGUCACCUUCUUUUUCCUUGAGACAUUUCUCAUUAAUGAACAUUCUCCCUAUUGCAGCAACAUGAAUUAAAACAUCUCCUUCAUUGUCCAGCACAUUUUGUCUUACACAGUUUUGAUGUGAUUCAAACAGAAUUGGACCUCACCUUUGAAUCCUUAUUUAUUCCAUCCACAUACCAAGGCUCUUCUGCCCAUUGUGCUGUCUUCCUGACUUUUGAUCGAGGGGGACCCAUUGGUGGGUCCAGCCCCUGGUUCUGUGCUCUGGAUUCUUGUCCAUUGGUAACACAAAACAAACUCCAUUGUCACUUGUGUUAUGCCUACAUGAACACUUAUGAAGUCUUUUACUUUUGAAAGUCACAAAACUAAAACCUGGCUGCCCAGAUCCCUAUCAAGACUCAAGUUUGCCUUGCCACUGGCCCCUUCUGGUAGGAUCUGAAAAAGCCCUGCAAACUGGAUCCCAGAAACUUGAUAUAAGCCUCCAAAGGCUCACCACUACAGCCAACAAUUCAUGGGCCAGAAUUCUGCAUCUGCACCACUAAAGGAGUCCAGUGAAAUGCUGGGUCAUACAUACUCCUGUUCAAGAGGUAACCAACAUAGUGAGUGACAUCAGCAAGAACAUCAGUGUCUAAACUGGAGAGCUUCAAGAAACUCAGAGUAGUGCUGAAUGACCAUGAACUUUCUCCACCAACUUCUUGGGAUGCAUUGAACUGCUUAUCUUCAGAAUUCAGCUUCUGGUUCUUUAUGUAAUGUUAAUAUUUCCCUUUUAAUUUUAGGAAUUCUUGUUUUGAGAUACCUAGUCUCUGGAACCCCCAAACAACUGAUCUUUGUCACCACUUCUCACCAGGCAAUUCAAUGGGUUUUAUAAGAACAACACUAACAAGACUCCUCAUGAGACUUUCUUAGACCUCAUCUCACCUUCUCAGGAGGUUUAUGAUCACCUUUGAGUUAUUCAGAAAUGAAUGCUAUUUGUCUUGAACAAAUGAGGGGAACUGACAAUGUUGAACUAUUUCUGAGCCUGUGCUUCCAGGAAGUUGUGACAGUUAAGAAAUCUACCAUCAUUCUGUGUCCCAGGAGCAGCUAACCACAAAGAACCACCCUGCCCUUGCUUAUGUCAAGAUCCAUCUCCAUCCUCCCUCAGAAAUCCUGUAAGUCUCAUAGAUGACUCUUUAUUAUGUUUCUAUAAACCCUAGGUCCCCUCCCUUUUCUUUCAGUUAUUCUUCAUUAAUAAACAUUGUCCUUAUUCCA